rnacentral:lncRNA from 1 species
GCUUUUGAGGCUGAAUGUUCAACCUGCCAGCAAGACUGAUUGUGAGCACCUCUGAUAUGAGGCCACCUCUAAAGCAGACUAAGAAACCCUUUGUUGGCAAGUUGAUUACACUAAAACCCUCAAUACUUGAAAAGGCAGCAAUCGAUUUUGAUUGGGAUUGACAGACUUUGAAGCCCCUUAAUCUUCAGUGUUAUUAGCUCAGCUAUCCAUUGUCCUUCAGCGUCUCAGAUGAAUGACUGAUUUAACUUGGAUCAGGGGAGGAUCACAGCCCAGUUGACUGCAGGUAGGCAGGAAGAUGGAGUCAUGGAUUUCAACAAGCUCUCCAGAUAUGUCUUUUCUGGAGACUCAACAAAAAAUGCAAAAGUACAAACAAGCAUUUAUUCUGGUCAAUCAAGGACAAAUACAGAGAGAACUAGAAAACACUCCAACAAAGAUGUGAAUGAAACUGGGACUCCUCUCUCCCUCGUCAAACAGGCAAAUCUAGCAAGUGAGCUGCAUACGCUUAAAGUCAGUACAAUAAAAAUCCAUGCUCUGCUGUGAGGAAGCCAUGCAGGCCUCAUAAGCCUGUCUCUAUACAAUCUUGCAACCCAUCGUCUCAUGACUGAAGAUGCCAGCAGGAUGAAUCAGCAUCAGGAAGAGAAAAUGGGUACCUUGCUCUCACAUUUCCCAGCUGCGUUUAUUAGAGAUUGAGGGGAAAAGUGACAACCCUGGUCUUGCCUCCCUCCACACAUAGAUAAUACCAACAUUCCAAGCCUUGCUUGAUGUAUAACCAAAAAGCUCUUGUUCAUUUUAUCUUUGAAGUAUAUGAAUAUCACAUGUGUAAGCCCUUAUUGCUUUGUUAAAAAGUAUAUAAACUACACUCAUAUCUGUGGAUCUCGAAGUAGUUCCUCAGAAUACUCUGUUUGACUAUUUCCCAGGACUCAAGUUCCUCACUUUGGUUAUCA